rnacentral:rRNA from 1 species
GUACCAAGACUAUGAUGUGUAGCUGGACUGAGAGGUUGAACAGCCACAUUGGGACUGAGACACGGCCCAAACUCCUACGGGAGGCAGCAGUAGGGAAUUUUCGGCAAUGGAGGAAACUCUGACCGAGCAACGCCGCGUGAACGAUGAAGUAUUUCGGUAUGUAAAGUUCUUUUAUUGAAGAAGAAAAAAUAGUGGAAAAACUAUCUUGACGAUAUUCAAUGAAUAAGCCCCGGCAAACUAUGUGCCAGCAGCCGCGGUAAUACAUAGGGGGCGAGCGUUAUCCGGAAUUAUUGGGCGUAAAGGGUGCGUAGGCGGUUUAAUAAGUCUAUAGUUUAAUUUCAGUGCUUAACACUGUCCUGCUAUAGAAACUAUUAGACUAGAGUGAGAUAGAGGCAAGUGGAAUUCCAUGUGUAGCGGUAAAAUGCGUAAAUAUAUGGAGGAACACCAGAGGCGUAGGCGGCUUGCUGGGUCUUUACUGACGCUGAGGCACGAAAGCGUGGGGAGCAAACAGGAUUAGAUACCCUGGUAGUCCACGCCGUAAACGAUGAGUACUAAGUGUCGGGAUUACUCGGUACUGAAGUUAACACAUUAAGUACUCCGCCUGAGUAGUACGUACGCAAGUAUGAAACUUAAAGGAAUUGACGGGACUCCGCACAAGCGGUGGAUCAUGUUGUUUAAUUCGAAGAUACACGAAAAACCUUACCAGGUCUUGACAUACUCUGCAAAGCUAUAGCAAUAUAGUGGAGGUUAUCAGGGAUACAGGUGGUGCAUGGUUGUCGUCAGCUCGUGUCGUGAGAUGUUAGGUUAAGUCCUAAAACGAGCGCAACCCUUGUCAUUAGUUGCCAGCAUGUCAUGAUGGGCACUUUAAUGAGACUGCCAAUGAAAAAUUGGAGGAAGGUGAGGAUCACGUCAAAUCAUCAUGCCCCUUAUGAUCUGGGCUACAAACGUGAUACAAUGGCUGUUACAAAGAGUAGCUGAAACGCAAGUUUAUAGCCAAUCUCAUAAAAGCAGUCUCAGUUCGGAUUGAAGUCUGCAAC